AAUGUGCACACUUUCAUUACUGAAGAUGGCACAAAUACUAAUCAACAACGCCAAAUGAACAACGUUUUGAUGGUUCCAGAGGCCUCAGACAAGUACAAGAAGAAUUGGAUCAAGAUAUCUAGCAUACUGAAAUGGUUAGAACUGAAGAGGUUUGUUAAACUUAAAAAGCUCCGUAUGACCAAGAAGCGCAAAUUAAUUUCCAAAUAAGCCACAGCAAAACAAGAACCACUGGUUCUGUCCCAUUUAGCUAUGGUGGAAAUUGAUCAACGGUCAUAUCAGGCUGAAAUUAGUGUAUAUGUGUGAUCUUUAUGAAUAUCUUGUGGUCAUGUUUCAACACGAACUAUUUGACACAUGAUUUACAUUUUCAUUACGUUUAAUUCAUCUCACGCCCUUUCCUUUUUAAGUCGUUUCAAAAUGAAUGUUAUUUUUCCUUCUUUGACAAUUAUUUAAUGACACCUCCUCUAUUUAUUUUUCUAAAAAAAUAUUUUCCUUCGUACCAAACACACUAUAACAUUAUCUUCUCUUUUUUUCGUGAAAAAAGAGUUGCCCACAGC
rnacentral:lncRNA from 1 species